GAGGAAGGAUGUAAGUCUGCGGUCAGAGUAGAGGAUAUGGCCUGCAUGGGCCUCGGUCUCCGGGAAUCCUCAUAUCGCCCCAUGAUGCCAGGAGGAAUGACGAGCUGACCUUCUCGGUAGGAAAGAGCUCUGAAAUCCAAAUCUAGGUAUCCAAGGCUGGAGUCAUCGACCUUAUUAAAUUUCUAGAAAUCUGCUUCAUUGUCUUUGUGAGCAGGUCAGUUUUAACAUUUCUCGAAGGCACUAGAGUUUCAAGGCUACUCUAACCUGUGAAUCUUCUGUGAACAUUAGCAGUUUGCUAAUGUUUGGACUAGUUUGGGGGUUCCCGGUAAUUCCGUUCAAGGAACAGUAUUUACUUCGAGGGCUGGAAGUUUCUGGCCCCGCCCCCAUCCUGCAUAAGGAAACAAUUGACAAAAAUCCACAGGUCAGUAAAACCUGUACAAAUUUCAUGAGGUGGGGUUGUUGCAGUGUCUUUUGAACUUGUUUCUAUUUAGUGCAUGCACACUGACAGAUUCACUGACUGAGAAAGGCUGACAAAGGACUCAGACAUAGGGACAAGGGUGUAGGGAAGAAACACACACACAUACACACGUACACACAUACUGUCCAGCUUAUCUCUCCAAUAAACAUCCUCAAACCGUCUUUCCCUUUGCAAACUGAGCUACUAGGACAGGGCCCAAUAGAACCUGCUAGAUAUGAUACAAACCUGUAGUUCCAAAACCAGAGUGCCCAAACUCCUCGGAAACAUUCCAAACUUUAUACAUAGGCUUGUCUGGUUUAAUAUUUUUACCUUUCCUCUAGCGCAUUCUAUAUGGAAAAUGAGACCUAGAAGUUGGGGAAAUAUAUUCCUUAAGGCAAGAAAUGUCUAAAAUCUAGAUGAUCUUUAACUAUUGAUUUAGUUUUAUGUAAAUAUGUUGUAAUGUAAGGAUAAAUAGAAAAAAAUGAAUACUUAGGAGAGAUAUGUCCCAUUUGUUCUGUAGGUCUGACACCUUCUAUCAUACUAAUGAAUACUAGGAAUUUAUCUGUCUAGUAAAAAAUUUAACAGAAAAAAAUCAUAAAAAUCAAAUAUGUAUUGGAUGUGCUGAGCUAUGGCUUGGUGGUAAAGCACUUGCCUAAUGGGAUUGAUGCCCAAUAGUACAAAAGUAAACAAAUAAAACCAAUAUUUUUUAGGGCCUGGAAAUGCAAAAAUAGUAAAGAAGAUAUUGCAAACUGUCAGAAAUAAAAAACUGUGUCCCUUAAACAUCCAACCGGUAUUUCCUUUAUUACCAUCCUAGAAUCUGGAUAUUCAAGAUCGGGGUUGACUUCCUCUGAGGCCUGUCUCCUGGCUUGUAGAUGUCACCUUGCAUCUGGUCAUGACACACUUCCUCUCCAUGUGCUUGCGUUCCAAUUUCCUAUUGUAAGGACAGUGACUCCCUUUCAUUAGGAACCACCCUAAUGACCCCACAUUACCUUAAUUUCCAUUUAAAGACCAUAGCUCCCAGCCAGCCAGAUGGCCUGGUAGGUAAAGGCGCUUGCCAUCCUGAAUCUAAUACCUAUACCCACAUACUGGGAGGAGAGAAUGAAGUCCUACAAGCUCUCCUCGGCCACACAUUUAAAAGAAAAAAAUAGUAAACAAAGUAAUUAAAAAUAAAAGGUAUCCAAUUACCAAUUACUUUUUGUUUUAAUUAUUUUUAUAAAGUUUUUUGUUUUGUGAUUUUGGUUAUUUAUUUAUUUAUUUAUUUAUGGUUUCCUUUGUUUUAUUUUUAGACAGGGUCUCAUGUAGCCCAGGGCUGCUGGCCUGCAAUUCAUUAUAUAGCCAAGAAUGACUUUAAGUUUCUUUCCCCCUGCCCCUACCUCUUGCUUACUCAAAUUAUAUGCAUGGACCACUACACCAUGCUUAUGUGGUUCCAGGGAUCAAACCAAGGAUAUUGUAUAUACUAAACAAAUACUGUACCAACUAAACUAUAGCCCCCCCCCAUUGCCUUUUUUUAAAGACUCAGUCUUGAGGUGAUGAAGUCUUACACUUCAAUAUAUGAAAUAAUAGAGAGACACAAUACAUCUCCUUACAGACAAAGGGGAAAGACUUUUCUUGUUGGUUUGGUUUGGAAGCAUGGAAGACAGUUGGUAGUGGGCAUCAUUGUAAUUCCCCAGUAACCUUAGGGGAAUGUGUGCAGUCAGCAUAGGGACUGGACAACAUGAGAUUUCUAUUAGCCAGAGGGAGAGUGCUAGUGUAGCAUAGUAAUUCAUAACUGUAGGAGACUUCGUAACCUAGAAGACAUUUGACACUUUUUACUGUAACACUAUUGAUAUUUAAUGAUUAAAGAGUGAAUGGGUCUGUUGCUGAACAUCCUAUGAUUACCAGCCCAGCUGACUCAUCGUAUCAAUACAGUCUGUUCUCUAUAUCCUUUUAACUUGCAUCCAAUCAACCAAAUUUGCAUUGUUUACCAUGAAGUUAGCACUACAGCGCUUGUGGUGGUCAGUCUUAUUUUAAUUACAUAUUUUUAUUUUUGUGUAGGGUGGGAGUGCCUGGAACACAGGGUGCUCCUGUAGAGGUCAGAGGACAAGGUCAGCUCUUUUCUUCUCCCAUGUAAGGUCCAGGGAUUGAACUCAGGUUGUCAGGCUUGGCAGUGAAUGUCUUCCUUAAACCAACUGGCCGGUCGAUCCUGUGAUGAUUGAUCUUGUCACCUCGAUUAGAUCUGGAAUCACUCUAAAAGAUUUGCUUCUAGGCAGGUCUAUGAGGGCAUUUCCAGGAAAGGUCAGUUGAAUAGAGAAGACCCUCCCCCAUAGUGUGUGGCACCUUUCAGCCACCAUCCAGAUGUAAAGAACUCCACAGAAAAAGCAGUGCUACUUUGCCUGACACCUUAGGUGGGAAUUACUGAGGCAUCCAGCUUCAUGGACUGAACAGUUAGCAGGUUCUCACCCCAUCCAGCAUGCAGAUGACCAUUGUAAGACUGCCUAGCCCCUAUCGCGUAUGCCUAUCUAAUAAAAUUAUUUCUAUCUUAUACAUCCAUUCUGUUCCUCUAGAAAUUGCUGACUAAUGAAAUGCUUGUGUCUGUAAAGAACAUAUAUGGGUAAUUCUCCUUUCAUUAUCCCCUAAAUAACACAUUGUGCCAACUACUUACACAGUGUUUAUGUUGUUUUAGGCAUUAUAACUCAUCUAAAAAUGAUGGAAAUGAUACAGGAGGAGGUGCAUAGGUUCUAAGCAGACACUGCACUACUUUAUACAAAAGAGUUGGACAUCUGUGAAUUUUGACAUUCAGCGGGAACUAAUAGGGAUGUAAGGGUAUUCUGGAACCAGUCUCCCUCUGAUGCUAAGAACCCAGUUUUGCAUGUGUGCAGUGGGAUAUGAGAUACUAAACAGUUCCAUCCCCCAGUCAAUGCCUUCUGCUAAACUUUCAUGACCACAGCUCUUCCUCCCACCCCUAUCUCUAACUCUUAAGCUACUCACCUGCUCUCCAUUUCUAAAAAUUUAUUAUUAGCAGAGUAUUUAUUAUAAAUGAAUCUUAGGGGUUGGCUUUUUCACUCAGGGUUCCCUGUUGUUAUGUUUAUUAGUAGUUUUUGUGGAACUUUGUCCUCUGUCAGCAAGAGACCCUGACAAGAUUGUCCACUAAUAUUCCCUAAUAAAGAGGAGGGAAAACUCACAUGUCCAAGCACAAGGGACUAAUGAGGCAGCACACUAGACACUUAAGUCUCCAACCUUCCUCAAAAUAUUUAAGCCAUUAAUUACUGUGGGAGUGGGGUGGUAGCUUUUCUUCAGUAAUGUAGCUGCCUAUAAGUUGUCCUUGUUCCUAUAAGUAACCUUUUACCCGUGCUCCUGUAAGUAACUUCAAAUAAAUUCAUACUUGGAUG
rnacentral:lncRNA from 1 species